UGAGUAAUCUGCCCCAAACCCUGGGAUAAGCACUGGAAACGGUGUCUAAUACCGGAUAUGAACUUCAGCCGCAUGGCUAGAAGUUGGAAAGAAUUUUCGGUUUGGGAUGGACUCGCGGCCUAUCAGCUAGUUGGUGAGGUAAUGGCUCACCAAGGCGACGACGGGUAGCCGGCCUGAGAGGGUGACCGGCCACACUGGGACUGAGACACGGCCCAGACUCCGUACGGGAGGCAG
rnacentral:rRNA from 1 species